rnacentral:rRNA from 1 species
AUACGUAGGGGGCGAGCGUUGUCCGGAAUGAUUGGGCGUAAAGGGCGCAUAGGCGGCCCGGUAAGUCUGGAGUGAAAGUCCUGUUUUUAAGAUGGGAAUUGCUUUGGAUACUGUCGGGCUUGAGUGCAGGAGAGGUAAGUGGAAUUCCCAGUGUAGCGGUGAAAUGCGUAGAGAUUGGGAGGAACACCAGUGGCGAAGGCGACUUACUGGACUGUAACUGACGCUGAGGCGCGAAAGUGUGGGGAGCAAACAGGAUUAGAUACCCUGGUAGUCCACACUGUAAACGAUGAAUGCUAGGUGUAGGGGGUAUCGACCCCUUCUGUGCCGCAGUCAACACAAUAAGCAUUCCGCCUGGGGAGUACGGCCGCAAGGUUGAAACUCAAAUGAAUUGACGGGG